CUUGGCAACGUACACAGAUCAACGAUGUCAGGUGGAAACGCAAUGGUUUGUGGGACUUAUUGUCGCGUGCCUGAGUGUGUCUUCAGAGUCGAGGCCUUACCACCAAGGCUAACCAGGGGCGGACGAAACCACAGGCUAUAUUCUAUAUUUGCGUUAGCAUGGCACACAGUACACAAGUAGUCAACCAAAUACCAGUAAAUUAGUCCUCACCAUAGCCCCGCUGCCACCAGAUGGCGCUAUUAUUCUUUACAUAUUUUGUCACCCACAGAGCAGCAUACCUCGGCAACCUUUCAGGCUUAUCUCUGCGCCUUCAGUUCCCUCAGGAGAAGUCUUCCCUCACUCCCCAUCCACCCCCAUGAAACAACACCUCUGAUAAGGGCGUUUAUGUGAUUUUUGCACUUGCGUAGGAGAGGAGACGGAGUGAUUCCAACGGCACUUGAUACCCAGCGGGGCAAGGUGGUCACUGACCUGGAUGACUUUCAAGCAAAAGUUGGAGUCCCCCUGCACAGCUGGUAUCUGUGCUCUCCCUUCAUCUUGGAGUUCUUAAUGGCCCCUAUGGCUGGAGAACUUACCCAGACGAAUCACACAGUACUCAUCCAUACACCCAGUACAGCCUUUUGUGUCCUAAAUCUAAGAGCAGUCUAUAACGGCCCAACCUAGUCUAAGGGUAUCCAUUACAAAACAAGGGGAUUGUUUUGCAGGUUUUUUUUUUAUCUUCCCGCUUGUAAUGUUGAUGAAACGUGGCAAGGCUUAAUCAGCAAAUCUCUAUUUUUCAUCAUGCAAAUUAUUUUCUGUCAAU